rnacentral:rRNA from 1 species
UACGUAGGGUGCAAGCGUUGUCCGGAAUUAUUGGGCGUAAAGAGCUCGUAGGCGGUCUGUUGCGUCGGCUGUGAAAACCCGGGGCUCAACUCCGGGCCUGCAUUCGAUACGGGCAGGCUUGAGUUCGGUAGGGGAGACUGGAAUUCCUGGUGUAGCGGUGAAAUGCGCAGAUAUCAGGAGGAACACCGGUGGCGAAGGCGGGUCUCUGGGCCGAUACUGACGCUGAGGAGCGAAAGCGUGGGGAGCGAACAGG